rnacentral:rRNA from 1 species
CCUACGGGAGGCAGCAGUAGGGAAUAUUGCUCAAUGGGGGAAACCCUGAAGCAGCAACGCCGCGUGGAGGAUGAAGGUUUUCGGAUUGUAAACUCCUUUUGUUAGAGAAGAUAAUGACGGUAUCUAACGAAUAAGCACCGGCUAACUCCGUGCCAGCAGCCGCGGUAAUACGGAGGGUGCAAGCGUUACUCGGAAUCACUGGGCGUAAAGAGCGCGUAGGCGGGAUAGCAAGUCAGAUGUGAAAUCCUAUGGCUUAACCAUAGAACUGCAUUUGAAACUGUUAUUCUAGAGUAUGGGAGAGGUAGGUGGAAUUCUUGGUGUAGGGGUAAAAUCCGUAGAGAUCAAGAGGAAUACUCAGUGCGAAGGCGACCUACUAGAACAUAACUGACGCUGAUGCGCGAAAGCGUGGGGAGCAAACAGGAUUAGAUACCCCUGUAGUC